AGGGUAGUUGCAAAAGGCUAUUCGCAGCAACCAGGAGUAGAUUUCACCGAAACUUUUGCACCUGUGGCUAGAUUAGACAAAUCUGCACACUAAUUGCGUUAACUGCACAUAAAGGUUGGAGAUUGCAUCAGUUGGAUGUUAAAUCAGCAUUUCUAAAUGGAGUGUUGAAAUAAGACGUUCAUGUGGAUCAGCCUCAAGGCUUUGUAGUCAAGAAUGCAGAAGAAAAAGUGUACAACCUUAAGAAGGCUGUCUAUAGGAUGAAGCAAGCGCCAAGAGCGUGGUAUGGAGAAAUUGACUCUUACUUCAUCAAAAAUGGAUUUCAAAAAAGUCCAAGUGAAGCAACCCUGUACACAAAAUCUGAAGGUAAUUCUGAUAUCUUUAUUGUGUCAAUUUAUGUUGAUGAUUUGGUGUUUACCGGAAGCAAUGAGAGAAUGAUCUUGGAAUUUUAGGAGGAUAUAAUGAAGAAGUAUGAGAUGACCAAUUUUGGUCUCUUACAUCAUUUUUUGGGCAUUGGUGUUAUUCAAAGCAAUGAUAGAAUCUCCAUUCACCAAAAGAAGUACGCCCAAACACUCCUUGAGAAAUUUGGGAUGAAAUGGUGCAAUGCAAUUGCAACACCUUUGAUUGUGAAUGAAAAACUGUCGAAGGAAGAUGAAAGCAAAGCUGCGGACUCGACUAUUUACAGAAGCUUAGUGGGAAGCCUACUAUACUUGACAGCAACAAGACCAGACAUCAUGUAUGUCGCAAGUCUCUUGUCAAGAUUCAUGCACAAUCCAACUCAAAUUCACAUGGGAACUGCAAAGAGGGUUCUCAUAUACAUUGAAUGAACAAUUGAUUUUGGCCUCAAGUAUGAGAAAGAGAAAGAUCAAGAGCCAAACCUAAUUUGUUUAAGUAAAGAUGACAUGAAAAGCACAUUUGAAUAUGCAUUACAUUUGGUUCUGGUGUAUUUUCAUGGGCUUUAGUGAAACAGCAAAGUAUAGCUCUGUCAACUGCAGAAGUUGAGUAUGUGAGUGCAGCAGAAGCAACACCUCAAGUAAUUUGGCUGAGAUAUGUUCUUGAAGACUUUGGUGAAGAAUAGCUGGAAGCUACUCCUUUAUUGUGUGACAAUACAUGCAUCUGCAAUUGCAAUGUCAAAGAAUCCAGUCUUUCACAAUAAGACCAAGCACAUCAAAAGGAAAUAUUACUUCAUCAUAUAUGCAGUUCAAAACAAUGUAAUUGCAGUGCGAUAUUGCAGAACACAAUACAAGUUGUAGAUAUCUUCACAAAAGCAUUGUUGAAGGACAAGUUUACUUAUAUCUGAUAUCUUCUAGGAGUAAAACAAUUAGAAAUUUAAAGGGGAGUGUUAAAUAUUGAAUUACUUCUGUUUUGUUUAAUUGUAAUUUAUCUAUGUGGACACGUGUGUGAUCUGAUCAACUACCAAAUGUAUGGCUGCGAUUGCACAUAAGGUGUUGCAUUAGGGUUAUAUCCUUAAGCCACUACAUUAAUGAGAUAUAGAUCUGAGAAUCAAGAAAUAGAACAAAGGCUGCAACGUAUAGCCAUUCUCUCAAACUUUCUCUAUCCAAAAACAGAAUAUCUAACAAUAGCAACUAUAUAUAUAGACACAUACACGUCCGCACUAUCGCUAAAGUGUGAACGUCGAGGCUGCAGGAGCAUUCAGGCAGCGAUAGCGGUGCGAAUCGUGUCUGACGGAGGUCGGAGGCAUCCCAGACCGCUUUUGGACAGCAAUCGAGGUCGAAGGUUCUGGGCAGUGCUGCAAACUAGUCGCCGGCGAUGCCACACGACUGCAGACUGGUCCAAGGUGCCCCUAGCCUCUAUCCGACAAUGAGGCGUUACGCCGUCGACACUUGAUCGAGCAGAAAUCUUGGAUGUCCACACUUUAGUGACAGUGAGGACGUCCUCUUCAGAAUGCCUCCGUAUAUGUGUGUACACACACACACACCAAUUGCAGAACUAGUUUAUUACUCUGAAAUUCUAGUUAUUCCCAACCCCAGUUAUCACGCUUUUUUAUAUUACUUAAUUUGAUGUUUUAAUUAAUCCCACCUUUAUAUUUUUACUACACCUACUUAAUUACUUACAAUAUAAUAGUUUUCUUUGACAACAUUAUAUUUGUUAAUUUGCAUUGCUAAACUAUAGAAGCAGAUCGGUAACCAAAUAACUUCUGAUUUUCUAUACUACUUGAACUCAGGGGCGGAUCUAAAUAGAAGGCUAUAUGAGCUAAAGCCUAGACAGUUUUUUGGGCAAAAAACCACUAAGUAUAUAUCCACUAAGCCCAUACCCAAAGGGGAAAAAAAAACAUUGGGAGGUAAAAGUCCCGUUCUUCCCCAGCCACAGCCCACAGCAGCUCACUUCUCUCCUCUACGGUCAAACCCUCCUCUGCAGCUCCCCAUCCAAGCUUAGUCUAGUUCUUCUCCCUGUAUGGCUGUAUUGAUUUUCAUUGCAGACUUGCAGUCAUCUUCUUCGGCUUUCCCCAUCCAAGCUUGCUUUGUUUUCUGAUUUGCUCCAAACGGGAGGUAUUUCUUUUCUUUCUUUCCAAGUCUCUUGAUUUGUUUAAUGGGUUUGUUGAUGGAAAUAGUGGUGUGAGUUACAGUGGUGUUUUGUUUGUUUUGGGUUCUGGGUUUUGUUGGGUAUCUUUGGUUAUGAGCAAUGGGGGACUCAGGUGGAAAAGUGAGGUUGAUUCGGUGCCCAAAGUGUGAGAAUCUUCUUCCUGAGCUAGCUGAUUACUCUGUGUAUCAGUGUGGUGGUUGUGGUGCUGUUCUUGGUGCAAAAAAGGAAAGGCAGAUGAGUGGGAGUGGGUGUCUCAGGUUCUUGAUGGUCAUUGCAAACCAAUGCCACAAGUCUAUGUUCUUCCUAGCUACCAGCUUAAUUUCAGAAUCAAACCCACCUCAGCUAUCAAUCUUCACAAGGUCAUAACUCUUUCUUUCACAAUUCACAAGGUAAUGAUUAAGAAAUUUUUGGGCACUUAUAAUUAGCCUAGACGGGUUUCAAAUCCUGGAUCCGCCACUGCUUGAACUCCAACGACCAAUAGUACUACAAUAGAUCGAUCUAGUACCACAGAAGCAAGUCAAGGUACCUAUCUAUAGACAUGAAAUUUAAAAUACACUACACACUGCUUUAAAGGUACUUGAGAAAUAUAGAAGAAAAAGAAGAAGGG